rnacentral:rRNA from 1 species
GAUGAACGCUGGCGGCGUGCCUAAUACAUGCAAGUCGAGCGAAUGGAUUAAGAGCUUGAUCUUAUGAAGUUAGCGGCGGACGGGUGAGUAACACGUGGGUAACCUGCCCAUAAGACUGGGAUAACUCCGGGAAACCGGGGCUAAUACCGGAUAGCAUGUUGAACCGCAGGGUUCGAAAUUGAAAGGCGGCUUCGUCUGCCAAUUAUGGAUGGACCCGCGUCGCAUUAGCUAGUUGGUGAGGUAACGGCUCACCAAGGCAACGAUGCGUAGCCGACCUGAGAGGGUGAUCGGCCACACUGGGACUGAGACACGGCCCAGACUCCUACGGGAGGCAGCAGUAGGGAAUCUUCCGCAAUGGACGAAAGUCUGACGGAGCAACGCCGCGUGAGUGAUGAAGGCUUUCGGGUCGUAAAACUCUGUUGCUAGGGAAGAACAAGUGCUAGUUGAAUAAGCUGGCACCUUGACGGUACCUAACCAGAAAGCCACGGCUAACUACGUGCCAGCCGCCGCCGUAA